GCCCUCUUAGCUCAGUUGGUAGAGCGUUUGUUUCGUAAUCAGAAGGUCGCCAGUUCGAUCCUGGCAGAGGGCU
rnacentral:tRNA from 1 species